GUUAGUAGACCGCCUGGGGAGUACGGUCGCAAGAUUAAAACUCAAAUGAAUUGACGGGGGCCCGCACAAGCGGUGGAGCAUGUGGUUUAAUUCGAUGCAACGCGAAGAACCUUACCUACUCUUGACAUCCAGAGAACUUUCCAGAGAUGGAUUGGUGCCUUCGGGAACUCUGAGACAGGUGCUGCAUGGCUGUCGUCAGCUCGUGUUGUGAAAUGUUGGGUUAAGUCCCGCAACGAGCGCAACCCUUAUCCUUGUUUGCCAGCACGUAAUGGUGGGAACUCCAGGGAGACUGCCGGUGAUAAACCGGAGGAAGGUGGGGACGACGUCAAGUCAUCAUGGCCCUUACGAGUAGGGCUACACACGUGCUACAAUGGCGUAUACAGAGGGCUGCCAACUAGCGAUAGUGAGCGAAUCCCAGAAAGUACGUCGUAGUCCGGAUUGGAGUCUGCAACUCGACUCCAUGAAGUCGGAAUCGCUAGUAAUCGUGAAUCAGAAUGUCACGGUGAAUACGUUCCCGGGCCUUGUACACACCGCCCGUCACACCAUGGGAGUGGGCUGCACCAGAAGUAGAUAGCUUAACCUUCGGGAGGGCGUUUACCACGGUGUGGUUCAUGACUGGGGUGAAGUCGUAACAAGGUAGCCCUAGGGGAACCUGGGGCUGGAUCACCUCCUUA
rnacentral:ncRNA from 1 species